rnacentral:rRNA from 1 species
GAUGAACGCUGGCGGCGUGCUUAACACAUGCAAGUCGAACGGGGUGCUCAUGACGGAGGAUUCGUCCAACGGAUUGAGUUACCUAGUGGCGGACGGGUGAGUAACGCGUGAGGAACCUGCCUUGGAGAGGGGAAUAACACUCCGAAAGGAGUGCUAAUACCGCAUGAUGCAGUUGGGUCGCAUGGCUCUGACUGCCAAAGAUUUAUCGCUCUGAGAUGGCCUCGCGUCUGAUUAGCUAGUAGGCGGGGUAACGGCCCACCUAGGCGACGAUCAGUAGCCGGACUGAGAGGUUGACCGGCCACAUUGGGACUGAGACACGGCCCAGACUCCUACGGGAGGCAGCAGUGGGGAAUAUUGGGCAAUGGGCGCAAGCCUGACCCAGCAACGCCGCGUGAAGGAAGAAGGCUUUCGGGUUGUAAACUUCUUUUGUCGGGGACGAAACAAAUGACGGUACCCGACGAAUAAGCCACGGCUAACUACGUGCCAGCAGCCGCGGUAAUACGUAGGUGGCAAGCGUUAUCCGGAUUUACUGGGUGUAAAGGGCGUGUAGGCGGGUCGUUAAGUCAGCUGUGAAAGUUUGGGGCUCAACCUUAAAAUUGCAGCUGAUACUGGCGUCCUUGAGUGCGGUUGAGGUGUGCGGAAUUCGUGGUGUAGCGGUGAAAUGCUUAGAUAUCACGAAGAACUCCGAUUGCGAAGGCAGCACACUAAGCCGUAACUGACGUUCAUGCUCGAAAGUGUGGGUAUCAAACAGGAUUAGAUACCCUGGUAGUCCACACGGUAAACGAUGGAUACUCGCUGUUGGCGAUAUACUGUCAGCGGCUUAGCGAAAGCGUUAAGUAUCCCACCUGGGGAGUACGCCGGCAACGGUGAAACUCAAAGGAAUUGACGGGGGCCCGCACAAGCGGAGGAACAUGUGGUUUAAUUCGAUGAUACGCGAGGAACCUUACCCGGGCUUAAAUUGCAAAGGAAUAAUCUGGAAACAGAUUAGUCUUCGGACCUUUGUGAAGGUGCUGCAUGGUUGUCGUCAGCUCGUGCCGUGAGGUGUCGGCUUAAGUGCCAUAACGAGCGCAACCCUCGCCGCCAGUUACUAGCAGGUAAUGCUGAGGACUCUGGCGGGACUGCCAUCGUAAGAUGUGAGGAAGGUGGGGAUGACGUCAAAUCAGCACGGCCCUUACGUCCGGGGCUACACACGUGUUACAAUGGGCGGUACAGAAGGCAGCUACCUGGCGACAGGAUGCCAAUCCCAAAAGCCGCUCUCAGUUCGGACUGGAGUCUGCAACCCGACUCCACGAAAGCUGGAUUCGCUAGUAAUCGCGCUUCAGCCACGGCGCGGUGAAAUACGUUCCCGGGCCU